rnacentral:rRNA from 1 species
CCUACGGGAGGCAGCAGUGGGGAAUUUUGGACAAUGGGCGCAAGCCUGAUCCAGCAAUGCCGCGUGAGUGAAGAAGGCCUUCGGGUUGUAAAGCUCUUUUGUCAGGGAAGAAACGGUGGGGGCUAAUAUCCUUUGCUAAUGACGGUACCUGAAGAAUAAGCACCGGCUAACUACGUGCCAGCAGCCGCGGUAAUACGUAGGGUGCAAGCGUUAAUCGGAAUUACUGGGCGUAAAGCGUGCGCAGGCGGUUUUGUAAGUUUGUCGUGAAAUCCCCGGGCUCAACCUGGGAAUGGCGAUGAAGACUGCAAGGCUAGAAUCUGGCAGAGGGGGGUUAGAAUUCCACGUGUAGCAGUGAAAUGCGUAGAGAUGUGGAGGAACACCGAUGGCGAAGGCAGCCCCCUGGGCCAAAGAUUGACGCUCAUGCAACGAAAGCGGUGGGGAGCAAACGAGGUAUUAGACUACCCGUGGUACGUCCGACCGACCCGUAACCGUACUAGUCUACUACGUUAGUUACGGUUUUAACGUUUAACGUUAGUUAACGUACGAGCUACGUACGUGAGUAGACCGCCGUCGGAGGUACGGUCGCGAGAAGUUAAACGUUAAACGUAAGUUAGACGGCGUGAGACGUGCCGACGACGACGACGAGGGAGGUUAGG